rnacentral:rRNA from 1 species
GGUGGAAACUGAUGAACUAGAGGGUGGUAGGGGUCACGGGAAUCCCAGUGUAGCGGUGAAAUGCGUAGAUAUUGGGAAGAACACCAGCGGCGAAAGCGCGUGACUGGGCCAUUACUGACACUCAUGGACGAAAGCUAGGGGAGCGAAAGGGAUUAGAUACCCCUGUAGUCCUAGCCGUAAACGAUGGACACUAGGUGUUGCCCGAUCGACCCGGGCAGUGCCGUAGCUAACGCGUUAAGUGUCCCGCCUGGGGAGUACGCACGCAAGUGUGAAACUCAAAGGAAUUGACGGGGGCCCGCACAAGCGGUGGAGUAUGUGGUUUAAUUCGAUGCAACGCGAAGAACCUUACCAGGGCUUGACAUGUCGCGAAUCCCCUUGAAAGGGGGGAGUGCCUUCGGGAGCGCGAGCACAGGUGGUGCAUGGCUGUCGUCAGCUCGUGUCGUGAGAUGUUGGGUUAAGUCCCGCAACGAGCGCAACCCACGUUUCUAGUUGCCAGCAUUCAGUUGGGCACUUUAGAGAGACUGCCGGUGACAAACCGGAGGAAGGUGUGGAUGACGUCAAGUCAGCAUGCCCCUUACGUCCUGGGCUACACACGUACUACAAUGCUUCGGACAGAGGGUUGCCAGCCCGCGAGGGUGCGCUAAUCCCGUAAACCGAGGCUCAGUUCAGAUUGCAGGCUGCAACUCGCCUGCAUGAAGGCGGAAUCGCUAGUAAUCGCCGGUCAGCAUACGGCGGUGAAUACGUUCCCGGGCCUUGUACACACCGCCCGUCACACCAUGGGAGUUGGCCACGCCCGAA